AGAUAGAGGCGCGCCGCGCCAAAAGUACCGCGAAUCCGGGCUGACCGAGCCCCGCGGGAAAGGGACCGGCGCCGAAGCGGACGCAUCCACGGUCGGGGCGUUUCGCUGGCACGGCGGAGAACAUCCGUCCUGCUGUCGCACGGAUCCGCACCGGGAUCCUGCGGAGGGCUAUCG
rnacentral:ncRNA from 1 species